rnacentral:rRNA from 1 species
AUUCCGGCUUCAUGCAGCCCGAGUUGCAGCCUGCAAUCCGGACUGAGAAUGGCUUUAGGAGAUUAGCUUGACCUCGCGGUUUAGCGACUCGCUGUACCAUCCAUUGUAGCACGUGUGUAGCCCAGCUCAUAAGGGGCAUGCUGAUUUGACGUCAUCCCCACCUUCCUCCGGUUUGUCACCGGCAGUCUCGCCAGAGUGCCCAACUGAAUGCUGGCAACUGACAACAAGGGUUGCGCUCGUUACGGGACUUAACCCAACAUCUCACGACACGAGCUGACGACAACCAUGCACCACCUGUCAUUCUGUCCCCGAAGGGAACACUCUAUCUCUAGAGUUGGCAGAAGAUGUCAAGAGCUGGUAAGGUUCUUCCCGUUGCUUCGAAUUAAACCACAUGCUCCACCGCUUGUGCGGGUCCCCGUCAAUUCCUUUGAGUUUAAGCCUUGCGGCCGUACUCCCCA